GGAUGCCAUCAUACCAGCACUAAAGCAUCGGAUCCCAUCAGAACUCCGAAGUUAAGUGUGCUUUGGCGAGAGUAGUACUAGGAUGGGUGACCUUCUGGGAAGUCCUUGUGUUGCAUUCC
rnacentral:rRNA from 2 species